UACGUAGGGGGCAAGCGUUGUCCGGAUUUAUUGGGCGUAAAGAGCUCGUAGGCGGCCUGUUGCGUCCGCUGUGAAAUCCCGGGGCUCAACCCUGGGCGUGCAGUGGAUACGGGCAGGCUGGAGGCAGGCAGGGGAGAACGGAAUUCCUGGUGUAGCGGUGAAAUGCGCAGAUAUCAGGAGGAACACCGAUGGCGAAGGCAGUCCCCUGGGCCUGUACUGACGCUGAGGAACGAAAGCGUGGGGAGCGAACAGG
rnacentral:rRNA from 1 species